rnacentral:rRNA from 1 species
AGAGUUUGAUCCUGGCUCAGGACGAACGCUGGCGGCGUGCUUAACACAUGCAAGUCGAGCGGUAAGGCCUUUCGGGGUACACGAGCGGCGAACGGGUGAGUAACACGUGGGUGAUCUGCCCUGCACUUCGGGAUAAGCCUGGGAAACUGGGUCUAAUACCGGAUAUGACCUCCUAUCGCAUGGUGGGUGGUGGAAAGAUUUAUCGGUGCAGGAUGGGCCCGCGGCCUAUCAGCUUGUUGGUGGGGUAAUGGCCUACCAAGGCGACGACGGGUAGCCGACCUGAGAGGGUGACCGGCCACACUGGGACUGAGACACGGCCCAGACUCCUACGGGAGGCAGCAGUGGGGAAUAUUGCACAAUGGGCGAAAGCCUGAUGCAGCGACGCCGCAUGAGGGAUGACGGCCUUCGGGUUGUAAACCUCUUUCAGCAGGGACGAAGCGCAAGUGACGGUACCUGCAGAAGAAGCACCGGCUAACUACGUGCCAGCAGCCGCGGUAAUAC